rnacentral:rRNA from 1 species
AACAGGAUUAGAUACCCUGGUAGUCCACGCCCUAAACGAUGUCUACUAGUUGUCGGGUUUUAAUUAACUUGGUAACGCAGCUAACGCGUGAAGUAGACCGCCUGGGGAGUACGGUCGCAAGAUUAAAACUCAAAGGAAUUGACGGGGACCCGCACAAGCGGUGGAUGAUGUGGAUUAAUUCGAUGCAACGCGAAAAACCUUACCUACCCUUGACAUGUCAGGAACCUCGGAGAGAUCUGAGGGUGCUCGAAAGAGAGCCUGAACACAGGUGCUGCAUGGCUGUCGUCAGCUCGUGUCGUGAGAUGUUGGGUUAAGUCCCGCAACGAGCGCAACCCUUGUCAUUAGUUGCUACGAAAGGGCACUCUAAUGAGACUGCCGGUGACAAACCGGAGGAAGGUGGGGAUGACGUCAAGUCCUCAUGGCCCUUAUGGGUAGGGCUUCACACGUCAUACAAUGGUACAUACAGAGGGCCGCCAACCCGCGAGGGGGAGCUAAUCCCAGAAAGUGUAUCGUAGUCCGGAUUGUAGUCUGCAACUCGACUACAUGAAGUUGGAAUCGCUAGUAAUCGCGGAUCAGCAUGUCGCGGUGAAUACGUUCCCGGGUCUUGUACACACCGCCCGUCACACCAUGGGAGCGGGUUUUACCAGAAGUAGGUAGCUUAACCGCAAGGAGGGCGCUUACCACGGUAGGAUUCGUGACUGGGGUGAAGUCGUAACAAGGUAACC